AACGAACGUUAGCGGCGCGCUUAACACAUGCAAGUCGCGCGAGAAAGGGCUUCGGCCCCGGUAAAGCGGCGCACGGGUGAGUAACACGUAGGUAAUCUACCCCCAGGUGGUGGAUAACGUUCCGAAAGGAGCGCUAAUACAGCAUGAGACCACGACCCCGAGAGGGGAUGAGGUCAAAGCCGGCCUCUUCACGAAAGCUGGCGCCAGGGGAUGAGCCUGCGGCCCAUCAGCUAGCUGGUAGGGUAAUGGCCUACCAAGGCGAAGACGGGUAGCUGGUCUGAGAGGAUGAUGAGCCACACUGGAACUGAGCCACGGUCCAGACUCCUACGGGAGGCAGCAGUGGGGAAUCUUGCGCAAUGGGCGAAAGCCUGACGCAGCGACGCCGCGUGAGUGAUGAAGGCCUUCGGGUUGUAAAGCUCUGUGGAGGGGGACGAAUAAGUGUUGGCUAACAUCCAGCAUGAUGACGGUACCCCUUUAGCAAGCACCGGCUAACUCUGUGCCAGCCGCCGCAGUAAGAC
rnacentral:rRNA from 1 species